AGCGAACGCUGGCGGCAGGCCUAACACAUGCAAGUCGAACGAACCUAUCGGGGUUAGUGGCGGACGGGUGAGUAACACGUGGGAACGUGCCUUUAGGUUCGGAAUAACUCAGGGAAACUUGUGCUAAUACCGAAUGUGCCCUUCGGGGGAAAGAUUUAUCGCCUUUAGAGCGGCCCGCGUCUGAUUAGCUAGUUGGUUGAGGUAAUGGCUCACCAAGGCGACGAUCAGUAGCUGGUCUGAGAGGAUGAUCAGCCACAUUGGGACUGAGACACGGCCCAAACUCCUACGGGAGGCAGCAGUGGGGAAUCUUGCGCAAUGGGCGAAAGCCUGACGCAGCCAUGCCGCGUGAAUGAUGAAGGUCUUAGGAUUGUAAAAUUCUUUCACCGGGGACGAUAAUGACGGUACCCGGAGAAGAAGCCCCGGCUAACUUCGUG
rnacentral:rRNA from 1 species